GAUGAAGAACGCAGCGAAAUGCGAUACGUAAUGUGAAUUGCAGAAUUCAGUGAAUCAUCGAGUCUUUGAACGCACAUUGCGCCCUCUGGUAUUCCGGAGGGCAUGCCUGUCCGAGCGUCAUUGCUGCCCUCAAGCACGGCUUGUGUGUUGGGCUCCGUCCCCCGAUCCCGGGGGACGGGCCCGAAAGGCAGCGGCGGCACCGCGUCCGGUCCUCGAGCGUAUGGGGCUUUGUCACCCGCUCUGUAGGCCCGGCCGGCGCUUGCCGAUCAACCAAAUUUUUAUCCAGGUUGACCUCGGAUCAGGUAGGAAUACCCACUGAACUUAAGCAUAUCAAUAAGCGGAGGA
rnacentral:misc_RNA from 1 species